GUAGGUGGCAAGCGUUGUCCGGAAUUAUUGGGCGUAAAGCGCGCGCAGGCGGUUCUUUAAGUCUGAUGUGAAAGCCCACGGCUCAACCGUGGAGGGUCAUUGGAAACUGGAGAACUUGAGUACAGAAGAGGAAAGCGGAAUUCCACGUGUAGCGGUGAAAUGCGUAGAGAUGUGGAGGAACACCAGUGGCGAAGGCGGCUUUCUGGUCUGUAACUGACGCUGAGGCGCGAAAGCGUGGGGAGCAAACAGGAUUAGAUACCCUGGUAGUCCACGCCGUAAACGAUGAGUGCUAAGUGUUAGGGGGGUUUUCCGCCCCCCUUAUUGCUGCAGCUAACGCAUUAAGCACUCCGCCUGGGAGUACGGCCGCAAGGCUG
rnacentral:rRNA from 1 species